AGAGUUUGAUCCUGGCUCAGGACGAACGCUGGCGGCGUGCCUAAUACAUGCAAGUAGAACGCUGAAGAGAGGAGCUUGCUCUUCUUGGAUGAGUUGCGAACGGGUGAGUAACGCGUAGGUAACCUGCCUUGUAGCGGGGGAUAACUAUUGGAAACGAUAGCUAAUACCGCAUAACAAUGGAUGACCCAUGUCAUUUAUUUGAAAGGGGCAAAUGCUCCACUACAAGAUGGACCUGCGUUGUAUUAGCUAGUAGGUGAGGUAACGGCUCACCUAGGCGACGAUACAUAGCCGACCUGAGAGGGUGAUCGGCCACACUGGGACUGAGACACGGCCCAGACUCCUACGGGAGGCAGCAGUAGGGAAUCUUCGGCAAUGGGGGCAACCCUGACCGAGCAACGCCGCGUGAGUGAAGAAGGUUUUCGGAUCGUAAAGCUCUGUUGUAAGUCAAGAACGAGUGUGAGAGUGGAAAGUUCACACUGUGACGGUAGCUUACCAGAAAGGGACGGCUAACUACGUGCCAGCAGCCGCGGUAAUACGUAGGUCCCGAGCGUUGUCCGGAUUUAUUGGGCGUAAAGCGAGCGCAGGCGGUUUGAUAAGUCUGAAGUUAAAGGCUGUGGCUCAACCAUAGUUCGCUUUGGAAACUGUCAAACUUGAGUGCAGAAGGGGAGAGUGGAAUUCCAUGUGUAGCGGUGAAAUGCGUAGAUAUAUGGAGGAGCACCGGUGGCGAAAGCGGCUCUCUGGUCUGUAACUGACGCUGAGGCUCGAAAGCGUGGGGAGCGAACAGGAUUAGAUACCCUGGUAGUCCACGCCGUAAACGAUGAGUGCUAGGUGUUGGAUCCUUUCCGGGAUUCAGUGCCGCAGCUAACGCAUUAAGCACUCCGCCUGGGGAGUACGACCGCAAGGUUGAAACUCAAAGGAAUUGACGGGGGCCCGCACAAGCGGUGGAGCAUGUGGUUUAAUUCGAAGCAACGCGAAGAACCUUACCAGGUCUUGACAUCCCGAUGCUAUUUCUAGAGAUAGAAAGUUACUUCGGUACAUCGGUGACAGGUGGUGCAUGGUUGUCGUCAGCUCGUGUCGUGAGAUGUUGGGUUAAGUCCCGCAACGAGCGCAACCCCUAUUGUUAGUUGCCAUCAUUCAGUUGGGCACUCUAGCGAGACUGCCGGUAAUAAACCGGAGGAAGGUGGGGAUGACGUCAAAUCAUCAUGCCCCUUAUGACCUGGGCUGCACACGUGCUACAAUGGUUGGUACGACGAGUUGCGAGUCGGUGACGGCAAGCUAAUCUCUUAAAGCCAAUCUCAGUUCGGAUUGUAGGCUGCAACUCGCCUACAUGAAGUCGGAAUCGCUAGUAAUCGCGGAUCAGCACGCCGCGGUGAAUACGUUCCCGGGCCUUGUACACACCGCCCGUCACACCACGAGAGUUUGUAACACCCGAAGUCGGUGAGGUAACCUUUUGGAGCCAGCCGCCUAAGGUGGGAUAGAUGAUUGGGGUGAAGUCGUAACAAGGUA
rnacentral:rRNA from 1 species